ACGCACGCUGGCGGCGUGCUUAACCCCUGCCAGUCGAACGGAAAGGCCCUGCUUUUGUGGGGUGCUCGAGUGGCGAACGGGUGAGUAACACGUGAGUAACCUGCCCUUGACUUUGGGAUAACUUCAGGAAACUGGGGCUAAUACCGGAUAGGAGCUCCUGCUGCAUGGUGGGGGUUGGAAAGUUUCGGCGGUUGGGGAUGGACUCGCGGCUUAUCAGCUUGUUGGUGGGGUAGUGGCUUACCAAGGCUUUGACGGGUAGCCGGCCUGAGAGGGUGACCGGCCACAUUGGGACUGAGAUACGGCCCAGACUCCUACGGGAGGCAGCAGUGGGGAAUAUUGCACAAUGGGCGGAAGCCUGACGCAGCAACGCCGCGUGCGGGAUGACGGCCUUCGGGUUGUAAACCGCUUUCGCCUGUGACGAAGCGUGAGUGACGGUAAUGGGUAAAGAAGCACCGGCUAACUACGUG
rnacentral:rRNA from 1 species